rnacentral:tRNA from 1 species
GCAGUAGUGGCUCAGUGGUAGAGCACUUGCCUAGCAUACAUGAGUUGCUGGGUUCGAUUCUCAGCACUGUA